rnacentral:lncRNA from 1 species
CUUCCUGCUUAGAUAAGCUGAGAACACUCAUUUAUGUAAGGAAUGUUCUGCUUUGAUCUGACCUUGAGAGCUGGACUUAGCCCAUGUAAAUUCAGAGCAGCCGACUCACACUGACUAUGUUCCUUCCGUCCGUCUGGUUCUUGACCCACAUUACCACCUUGUGAGACAAAUUCCAGUGUUCCUGAUGCGAGCUCUAUGUUUUGAGGACUUGCUUGGGACCUUACCCAGUGACUUCCCCAGAAGGGGCUUUUAUGAAACCUCAGAUCACAGACUCUGGAGGAAGCUGGCUGCCAUGACACAUGGGGCUGCCAUGACAGCCCCACAGAGACACCCCUGUGGCCAGGACUGA